rnacentral:rRNA from 1 species
UACGGAGGAGGCAAGCGUUAUCCGGAAUUAUUGGGCGUAAAGCGUCCGUAGAUGGUUUUGUCAGUCUGCCGUCAAAGCACAGGGCUUAACCCUGUAAAGGCAGUGGAAACUACAAGACUAGAGUGCAGUAGGGGCAGAGGGAAUUCCCAGUGUAGCGGUGAAAUGCGUAGAGAUUGGGAAGAACACCCGUGGCGAAAGCGCUCUGCUGGACUGCAACUGACAUUGAGGGACGAAAGCUAGGGGAGCGAAUGGG